AUUGUUUUGUGGGACCUGUGACCAGCUCUAGCCCCUCAGGAGAAGCACCCAAAUGCUCCAGGUGGUGGGCAGGGGCCCUGGAGCUCCUGGCUCCCACACUCCAGAGAUGACUAAGUAGCUGAUUCAUUGGUGCCACACCCAGAGGAAGAGUUCAGACUUGAGAGAGGAGGGGGAAGUACGGCCAUACUGCCCCAUCCUACAAGAGCAGAGGGCCAGGCUGAGACACGUUCAUCACCAGGCACCUAUGACUGUCUAAGCAGCAAAUCAUGCCACAUGCCUGGCUGCCCAGCAGUGCCAUGCUCUCUUCAUCCUCCCCUCCCUCUCCCAGCUCCAGGUCCUCCCCUGACCUUGUGCUUCUCCUGAGAAUCACACUGCUUCUGUUUCUACUCGGCAUGCCAGAAGUUAUUGCUUUCAUUCACUCAUCAGUAAAGAUUUAUUUUA